rnacentral:rRNA from 1 species
AUACGUAGGGUGCGAGCGUUGUCCGGAAUUACUGGGCGUAAAGAGCUCGUAGGUGGUUUGUCGCGUCGUCUGUGAAAUUCCGGGGCUUAACUCCGGGCGUGCAGGCGAUACGGGCAUAACUUGAGUACUGUAGGGGAGACUGGAAUUCCUGGUGUAGCGGUGAAAUGCGCAGAUAUCAGGAGGAACACCGGUGGCGAAGGCGGGUCUCUGGGCAGUAACUGACGCUGAGGAGCGAAAGCAUGGGUAGCGAACAGGAUUAGAUACCCUGGUAAUCCAUGCCGUAAACGGUGGGCGCUAGGUGUAGGGGUCUUCCACGACUUCUGUGCCGUAGCUAACGCAUUAAGCGCCCCGCCUGGGGAGUACGGCCGCAAGGCUAAAACUCAAAGGAAUUGACGGGG